rnacentral:rRNA from 1 species
AACUGGGUAACCUGCCCAUCAGAGGGGGAUAACAUUCGGAAACGGAUGCUAAAACCGCAUAGGUCUUCGAACCGCAUGGUUUGAAGAGGAAAAGAGGCGCAAGCUUCUGCUGAUGGAUGGACCCGCGGUGCAUUAGCUAGUUGGUGAGGUAACGGCUCACCAAGGCCGUGAUGCAUAGCCGACCUGAGAGGGUGAUCGGCCACAUUGGGACUGAGACACGGCCCAA